AUAAAUAGCACCAAAGUGCCUGUAGAAAAGCAUUUAUCAACCUCUCAACUGAGUUCCAUAAACGUGCAGCAAAGUCAGCUGACUAGAGGAUACGCUAACCCUAAGCACACGUGAGCAUCAUCUAUGAUGCAGUCUCGUCAGUAUUUAUGGGUGUUUGCGAAGGACAGGGACUGGCCUACGCCCUGGGGUAAAGAAGCCUGUGUCUCUGUGUCUGGAACGAAUUUGUGCAGAAAAGGAUAGCGUCUAAAAUGAUGACCAAAAAAAAAAUUUUUUUUUCCUGUUUUCCUUGAGCCUUUGCUCUCCACCUUGGUCCCUCCUCCCCCAGCCUCAAAUUAAAGAGAAGUGAAGAGAAGGGGUACAGACCCACCAGCCACUUAGAAGAUGCAGGAGAGGCUCCCACGCCAUCCCUCGUCCACAGGGCUGGGUGUGAGUGAUGUCUGGGGACAGUAUAGGGCCAAUGCCCGCAGGAGAGGAGGACCAGAAGUGCCGGGCUCGGUGGGCAGGGCGGCCUGUCCCUGAGCAGGGUGUGACUUAGAACCCAGGAUGCAGGAGGCUUCUCGGGUGGUCCCCCCCACCCGGAAACUACACCCCACUGCAGCCUUUUGUGCGACACGAAAGAAGCUCAAGGUAGAAGCAAUUUAAAGAGCAAAAUCAAAACUCCAUAAUGGGAAACGGGGAGCUAGAUCCUUUCCAAAUGGGAGAAGAAUCUAGAGAUGGAGGGAAUGGAGGAGAAAAGCAACUUUUUGAAAAGGUGCUCCUCGGCGGGCCACGAGGUUAGCAGGAGGGUGCGCGCGCGCUUCAGCGAGUGAGUGCCGGGCUCCCGGACCCAACCCGGAGAGAGCGGAGCGUGGGCAGGAGGCGCGUUCCCCGGGGAUCCCCUGGCCUUGGACCCCGGCCCUGGGCCCUGCCUCACUUCCCCUGCGGCAGGGUGCGCGCGGGCCGCGGACCGGGGCGCUUUGCUCCCGCGCCUGGCCCCCGAGCUUGGCGGGCGGCACUGCGCACCGCAGCGCGAGCUCCUCUCCCUGCAAAAGCCCCACACGGGCUGUCCCGCGGUGCAGCUCUGUGAAUUAAAUUGUUAACACUGA